GUAGUUGUGUCCGAGUGGUUAAGGAAACAGGCGAAAAACCCUGGCAAUCGUCUGGGGGGUUUAUUCCCCACAUGGGUUCGAAUCCCAUCAACUACC